GGUGACUUCGCUCAUUCGUGUUAGAGGAUCCACUCCCGCUGUCCCGUGCGGCACGCUGGGUGGCCUCGGCGGCGUUCUUCACUGCGGUGGUCUCUGGUUUGUGCUCGGAGCCCCUCCUCCGUUCGAAUCUGGGGGUAAACCAUGGCUGGGCCCUUCUUUGGCGGCGACUCGGCUCCCGCGGAGAUGACGACGAGGAUGCGAACAGAGCUGCGCCUAUCGUGCCCUCUUCCUCCGUGCAGCAAGUUCCACCAAGGCCACAUGGUCUUGACUUCGUAGAGCGUCUGCCGGUCGUCGGUCGCGCGGAUCCAGAACCGCAUAGGACUACUUCGUCGACGGAUGAGCUGGGGGCAUGCGCAAGCGUCGAGCGCGUGCUUGUAGGCGCCAGGCGCACCAUCGUGGCCUGUAGCGCCUCGGCUACAAGAAGACUGACACCGUGCUCGGGGGCUGCAUCACCCAGGUUGCUGGACUGCAUUGAGAGGAGAUCUUUGCAUCUAUGGCUCUCAGUGAUUUAGGAAAACAAAGAAACCACUUGGUAAAGACAAUAGGUCAUCAAAUAUUGGGCAAAGUAUGGCAAUGAAGGAAAGAAUGAAGACAUAAAGAUUCUCAAGCAAAUCAAGCAAUGAAAACCUUCCUCCGUGGUGUUAGUAAUGCAAAUAUUCAGUUUUAAUGUAACCUUGGCUAAAUUGCCACCAUUUGAUGUUGAUGUGAACCUUUGUUGUAUUGCAAAGAUUGAACUUUUUACAAAGUCUCAUGUUAAA